CUGACUUAAGCCAUCCAGUUUGUGCAGCCCAAACUAAGGCCAAAUAGUAUUAGAUAGGAAAAUAAAUCUUAAACCCACACCUAGUUCGCGAAAAUUACAUUCUUUUUGAUUAUUUGCUUGGUUGCUUUUGUUUGGCCUCUUUUAUUCUGCGGUAAGGGGCCGGAGCUCUGCGCUGUCCGGCUCCUUUAGCAGCCCUACAAAGGGUGCCUAUCCCUGGGGCCUAGAAAUUUUUAUACCACGUGACCCUGCCUCACCUGCCCCACCCCCCCUCCCGGGCCAGGCUGCCACUGUGUCAAAGGGAGACGGGCUUCUCCCUCCUCCUGAUUGGUACAUACGCUCGCCGUGGUUCCGGAGUGGGUGUGGCCAGAGGUUUGACUGGGUCCGCAGUGGCGGGUUCAGAGCCUGCGGUGUCCGCACCUGCUUGUCCCUGACCAGCCCAGCCCUGGGAGCCCGCGGCGCCGCGGCGCGUCUGAAGAAAUGGUUCUCACACCCACAAAACUAGAGGAUGAAAUGUCUCUGCAGAUGAAGACUGUGGAGAAGGAACAGUAGCUGACCGAGAAGGGCAACAGCUUCCUCCAAAAUCUCCAUCUGAUUGAAGGUCCAAUGAGGUAAGUCAGGGCUGAGCAUGGGGACUGUCUGCUGACUUCCUCAGGCCA
rnacentral:lncRNA from 1 species